rnacentral:rRNA from 1 species
GAUGAACGCUGGCGGCGUGCCUAAUACAUGCAAGUCGAGCGAACCGGGGACGGGUGAGUCCCACGUGGCUAACCUCCUAUAAGACUGGGAUACCUUCGGGGACCCGGAGCUCAACCCGUUACUUAUAGAUGUUACCUGGCGGCAUUAGCAAGUUGGUAAGGUAACGGCUUACCAAGGCAACGAUGCAUAGCCGACCUGAGAGGGUGAUCGGCCACACUGGAACUGAGACACGGUCCAGACUCCUACGGGAGGCAGCAGUAGGGAAUCUUCCGCAAUGGGCGAAAGCCUGACGGAGCAACGCCGCGUGAGUGAUGAAGGUCUUCGGAUCGUAAAACUCUGUUAUUAGGGAAGCGGUACCUAAUCAGAAAGCCACGGCUAACUACGUGCCAGCAGCCGCGGUAAUAC